rnacentral:lncRNA from 1 species
UGUGUGUCUGUGAGUGACAGCAUGUGUGUGUGUGAGUGAGUGUGUGUGUGAGUGACUGAGUGUGUGUGUGUGUGAGUGCGUCUGUGUGUGUGUGUCUGUGAGUGAUUGUAUGAGUGUGUCUGCAUGUGAGUGUAUAAGUGUGUCUGUCAGUGUAUGAUGAGUGUGUUUGUCAGUGUAUGAGUGUGUGUCUGUCAAAUCAGUGAGAGUAUGUUUGUCAUUGAGCCUGUGUGUGACUAUCAGUGUGUCUGUCAAUGAGUGUCAAUCAGUGUGGGUCUGUCAGUGUCAAUGAAUGAGUGUGUGACAAAUCAAUGAGUCUGUGUCUGUCAGUGACGUCUGUGUGUUUGUCAUUGAGUGUGUGACUGUCAGUGUGUACAGAGUGUAGCGGAGCAGAGCGCGGUACAGGAGCUUCUGUUUCCUGUACCUGGCCAGACUGACAUGGAGGUGCUCAAAGAGAGAGUACUCCCUAUCAGUCCAGCCGGGUACAGAAAACUGAAGCUCCUUUAGGGGAUCUGCUCCGCUCGGCAAUGCAACAAUAGAGGUAGUAGGCACACCAGGAAGGGGAGUGUGACCACUAGAGGGGUGUGGGGUGCACCAAGGGACAGGGAGGGAAUGGGAGAGAAACAUCAAGAGACAGGGAAAAGAGGGGGGAGAAGAACACUGAGGGACAGGGAAGGGACCACUAAUGGUCGGGGAGGGGAGAGGGGCUGGUUAAGAGGCACAUAGGUGAAGAUGUUUUUUUUUUGGGGGGGGGACGGAAAAAUGCAUCUUCACCUAUGUACCUAAAAAUCCAAGCACAGGCCCUGAUAUCUAGGCACCCUUGCUGCUUAAAGUGUCCCAGAGGGUGUAAAGCAAUAUUCAUACAUUAAUAUCCCUCUUCCAGAAUAUCAAUAUCAUUAAAGUAUAAACAAUAAAAGUAUAUAUAUUGUAUGCUUACUUAUAAUGUGUGUGUGUGUGUGUAUAUAUAUAUAUAUAUAUAUAUAUAUAUAUAUAGUAUGUUUCAUUUUAAUGUGUGUAUAUAUAUAUAUAUAUAUAUAUAUAUAUAUAUAUGUAUAAGUAUCAAGGGAGGUGUACUCACAGGACUUUGUAAAUAAAUCUCUUGAGAAAGUCCCACAGAGGACGGAAACAUCAACACAUUUUUUUUUUGUAACUUGUUCUUUAUUAUUUUCAAAUAUUAUGGGGUACAGAAGGCAAAAGGGGUGGGGGACAAUAAGGAGUUGUGCAACAUGACAAAGAUUGUAAGUAAUACAUACACUUUCAUGCAUUCUUCAGUGCUAUUAGGUUGAGGGCUAUAUCACAUUAGAAAAUGUAGGUUGUAUGGGGAAGGCCCUUUGUGUAGUUUAAACGGUCAGCUUUUAACUUGUCAGUUGACCUUUGGGAGUCUGGGAGCUUGCUUGCUUUUUAUGUUCUGUCAGUGGCUCCGUUUAGAGGUCUUUUUACCCAGUAUCUGAUAUGUGGUUGUCUGGUUCAGAUCAAACAGGUUUUGCGGGGUGAAUGUGGUAAUAUAGUGAUCCGUGGCUAGUAAUUGAGUUAUGCAGCUCUGCCAGGGCGUCCUUGUUUAGGGUGUCAGUGAGGUCGAAGGAGGUGGGGGGGAAGACUUAGGGAAGGGUGUGAUGGAUAGGGUAACAAGGGGGUAUUGGGUGCGGUACCAGGUAGCGUUGUUUUGUUUGGUAAGGUGUUGUGGUGGGAUGUUAGACAUAGUCGGGGUCUAGUUUUGUAAAUUAGUUCUUGGUCAUGUUAGCCUUGUGUCGCAUUAGGCUGUGAUGUUUUGUUUAGGUGUUGUUGGUUUUUGUAGGUGGGCUCUCCACAUCUUGGCAAUGGUUGGGCUUAGCAUCCCUAUGUUCAGUUGGUUCCACAUAAGGAGUUCAUAGUCUACUGUUGCAGACAUUAGUGUUGUGAUUUCUGAGACUGAAGGAAGUGUGGGGGUCUUCCAGUUCCUGGCUAUCAGGGUGGACACAGUAGAUAGAAUGAGGAAUAUCAUUUUCCGUGUUGGUUUGGGGAUGUUAUCUGGAACUAACUUGAGAAGUACUGCUGCUGGGUCGUGUGGUAAGGUAUAGUCUGUGAUUUCUCGGAUCAGAUGUUUGGUGGUUUUCCAAAGCUCAUUUACUGUAUCGCAGGACCACCAUAUAUGAAACAUAGUGCCUGGCAUCACCAGCAUAUCUCCGUUGUGGCAGGGCAUAUGGACGUCGGGAAGGUACCAUGUACCACCUAUAAAGUAUUUUAUGUGAUGUCUCGAAGUGGGCAGCGCAGGUGGUUAUUUUGUCGAUAUGGUGGAGGAUCUCUUCCGUGGUGAUGGGCAUGGCGAGUUGUGUUGCUUGUUGUGAGCGAAUUUUGGGGAGUGCUAUCUUGUUGAGAUAUGUUCUUAUGGUCUUUGAAGUGGGUUGGGGCGUGUUGGGAUGGUCUUGCAAGUUAUGUAGGGUGCCGUAAUAUUGAGCAAAUUCAUUGCAUAUUUGCACAGGUUGCAUUACUUUUUGCCCGGAUUGUGUGUAAAUGAAUUGUGUUCUCGUUUGUACUUGCUUGGUGCGGAGUCUUUGUGCUAAAAGUUUCGUAGCCUUGUUUCCCAUUGAGUAGGAAGUGGCUUUGAGUUUUUUCAGCGCUGUGUUUGCUUUGAGCAGGUGGAUUUCGUGGAUUUCAUUGUGCGUGGUUUGUAUUUGUUGUUGGAGAGCUUGGAUGGGGUUCACCUGGUUUAAUCUGUGAAGGUCUUGGACCUUUUUGAGGAGUGUGAUCAUUGCUGUGUGUCUGAUCUUUUUAAGAUAGGCUGCCCUACUUAAUAGUAUCCCUCUAAUAACUGGUUUGUGCGCUAGCCAUAGUGUGGCAGGGGUGAGUCUGUGAGGGGCAUUGGUUGUAAGGUAGAGGUUCAAUUAUUUGCGUGUCUUCUCCAUGAAGGAGGGGUCUUUGAGAAUUUGUUUGUUUAAUCUCCAGGGGCUUCCGUUUUUAGAUUGGUAUGUGUCUGUGAGGGUUAACGAGACUGGGCUAUGAUCCGAUAUUGUGGAUGUGUUUAUGACACAUGACCUGACCUGUUGUAAGUGAGCGUUGCUCAUUAACCCAUCUAUGCGGGAGUACGUAUUGUGGACUUGGGAGUAGUGGGUAUAUUCCCUAGUGUUAGGAUGUAAGGUUCUCCAUAUAUCGUAGAGGCCAUAUGAGGACAGUAGUUUAUUCAUGGUAUUGCAGCAUUUGUAUAGGGACGUUUUGCAUUUUGCGGAGUGUCAGGCUGUGGAGUCUGCAUUGGGAUCUAGUAUGUGAUUAAAGUCACCGCUGAUGACUGUAGUGCCUGUCUGGUGUUUCUCCACGUUGGCGAGGAGUGAGGCUAGAUACGGCCUCUGGUUGUCGUUAGGAGAAUAGGAAUUCACUAAUGUGUAAGUAUUGUUGUUCAGGGUGCAUAUUAAUAUGAUCAAUCUGCCUUGUGGGUCAAGUUGGAGUGAGAUGAGAUCAAAGGCUAGAGAGUGGCUCAGUAGGAUAGACACUCCUUUGCUCUUAGAUGGGGAGGUAGCGUGGAACUGAUGUGGGAAGUUCUUAAGUCCAAGUGUUGGUUUAGAGUCGUGUCUCCUGUAAGCAGACUAUGUCUGCUUGUAUGUUGUUUAGCUCCCUAAGGAGGGUGUGCCGUUUGUUGGGCGAGUUGAGCCUGCAAACAUUGUAGGUAAGUAUCUUCAUUGUUUGGGAGUUAUAUAGUAGGGCUGUUCGUCAGUAUUGGCGGGAAGGGGGGGGUGGCAGGUCUGCUGGGGUGGUGGGUUUGUCCGAGUGCCUGGUCUUGGUUGGCAGCUGUCAGUGGUUUAGUCGUGGCCUGGUACCUAGAGAUGUGAAUCAGUUGCGAAAUGCAAAAUACAAAGCAAUAUAGAGCAAACUAAUACAGUUAAACAAUCUAACAAUUAAUAAGUAAUAAGUAAAGAAAGUAUCGUAUAAUGGUGACUUUCAGAGGUAUGUGCUGUAACUAUGGCACUUCCUAAUUGGGGGUGGUGUGAGCAGGUCGGGUCAUAUGGAGGCCGCUCAGGGCUCAUUUUUGGGUCGGAUUCUCUCCGGCUCUGUUUUUCCCUUGAAAUUAACAUUAUGGCGCAACCAGCGCCUUUAUAAGGAGCAAGAUGUCUUAGUAUAGUGGUGGAGGCAAUGGCUACAAUGGUUGGUGCCUUUCAGGUCUGUGACAGCAAAGUUAGCGUAACGUUUGUGGCAGUGGGUGUAUGAGGGGUCACAUACGUUGCCCCAGCUCUCUUUAGUAGAGUGCGUCAGGGGGGAUAAGGUAUGGGUGUUUAUAUGUGAGUUCUCUAACAUAGCAUGUCAUAGACUAACACAUUGUAUAACAGUUAGGCAUUGGGGAAAACUUGGUUUUAACUUGCUGUCUCUUGACGUCUUCUCUCGGGGAUGUGUGUCUCGUUUUUUGAGGGCGCCAUUCUUCUUCUUCUACGGUUUUGCUGGAAGCCUGGGGAUUGGUUUGUAGGUUCCGGGACAUACCCCAUUGCCGCAGAAGGUUCAAUCCUUCUCUUGGUGUGUUUGCUGUGAAAAGCUUGCUCCCUUUUGUGAUGAGGAGCUUGGCCGGGUGGCCGCAUCGGUACAGGACGUUGUGAUGUCUCAGAGCGUCGGCUACAUCUUUGAAGGAACGCCUGCGGCGUAAUGUAUCUGCAGAUAAGUUCAUGAACAGGAGGAUGUCUCUGAACCGGUCAGGUAAGACCUUUUUGGCUCUGUGUACCCUUAGGAUUUGGUCCUUGAUGUGAUAAUAGUGAAGUCUCAUGAGGACAUCUCUUGGCAUGGUGGGCGGUCAGUGCUGCGGUCUGGGAAGUCUAUGGAUGCGGUCAAGGAGAAACAUAUCUGCUGGGAUAUCUGUCAGUAUAGCUUUGAACAGCUCUACAGCGUAGGCUGUUAGAUCUUUUGAUCCUAUGUCUUCCUGUACACCUCUCAGGCAUAUGUUGUUGCGGCGCGAUCAGUCUUCAAUAUCUGCGAUUUUAGUUUCAUGGAGAUAAAGUGUGUCUUCAAUUUUGUUGAGGCGUUCUUCUGUUACAGCAUUAGCUGCAAUGAGACUUCCCAUAUUCCCCUCGAGAUGUGAGGUACGUGCAUCAAGGCUUGUAAUGUUGUGUCUUAUGUCAUUUAUAGCCUCUGUGACAGCAAAUUGCAUUUUGGCAACUGCUGCAUCCAGCAUGGUUUGAUGGAGAUUCUGUGUGAGUGGGGUGUCAGCAUGCUUACCGGUUGAGCUGGCACGGUCUACAUCAGAGUCCGUGUCGGCUCCAUCUUGGGCCUGCUGGUCGGCGGGUUUAUGUUGCGGCGUCCUCGCAGCAAAGAAGGCAGAUUUUUCUUUUGCCUCCGUGGCCUUCUUCGAGUGAUGUUGGGACAUCUUCCUCGUGGUCUGGGACGGAGAUGAACCGAAAAUGAUCUUGAUUAGCCGCUUAUUAGAGCCCUUGGCGGCGGAGCUCAUUUAAUGUGCUGCCAUCUCGCUCGACGUCCGGGCACGCCCCCCCACAUCAACACCUUUUUGGGUGUAUAAUCGCAUAAUAAGACUUCAAGAUUUAUUUACAAAGUCCUGUGAGUGCACCUUCCCCGGUACUUAUAUUUUGGCAUAAGUGAUUUGCAAAGACAUGACCAGGAGAGUGAGUGCUGGAUCCACGUGUAUGUAUGUAUGUACUUUAUUUAUAAUGUGUAUAUUUUGAUAUAUAUAUUUCUAGAUCCUCUUUCUAGGUCCCAAUGUUAGUUCUGCUGAAUAUUAACAAUUAUUUUUUGGUAGGUUAAGAUUUUUCACAAGAAUAGUGGGGGGAAAAAUUACCUUUAAGUACCCUCUGACACAAAUUCCCAAAACAUUGCUUGUGUGCCAUCUCUCUUCACAUGUUAAUGCAUUAUUAUAAGAUGUCUGAUGAAGGGGUAAAAUCACGGAAUUGGGCACCUUAUUAAUUUUCAGACUCUGCAUGAUUCAAUCUGUACAGUGCUGGUGAACAGCAACGAGAGGUCAUAAGAAUGAGUUAUGUGAACACAUUGUUUGCAUGUUGCAUGGUCAUAUUGUGUUAAACUUUAGCAUUAAGUACACAAGCAAUUAUAAGGUUUACAUUCAUGAGGUAUUUCUGGAACCUGUCCUCCUUAAAAUGCCAUCUGGCACCUUGCAAAUGCCCAUCAGCACAGUAUUUUAUCAUUUUAUUUUAGUUUAUUCUGUAUGUCAACUGUAUGACAAAUGUCAACUGUAAAUGAUUUACAGCUGUUGUUCUAAAAGAAGGAUUCUGUUUCUACUUUAUUUUCUUGCAGAAAUUGUGGGACGCAUAGAUUUUUGGAUAUUGUUUAAUGCAAAAACACUCUUUAAAUCGGAAUUCACCAAAAAAUAAAAAUUCUGCACACUUACAUAACGUAAAUUUAUUUUUGAUAAAUUGCAAUUUAUACACAAAACUGUAUAGGCUAGAUAUGUGUCCCAUUUUUCGAUUAAAUGUCGUCCUCAGUUGCAUUGGCAUUGAAUGGGUUACCUAUAGUCCAGACCAGUCAUUUGUGAGUAAAUAUUACUGUCUUGAAUUAUUACUGUUUAAUGUUAAUGUUGGUCAUUCCAUUUUUCUUACCUGUUUUAUUGCAGCAUCAUUAAAUUUUUAUGAGCAUUAAACAAACAUUUAUAAGAAGGAUGACAGCAGAAUGCAUACCAGCAUGAACUUUGGUUUGACUUCAAUGUUUUAUUAUGCAUUCUGUAUAAUGUAAACAGGUCUGUUCUCUCCACAGGGUUAAAGUGCGUCGGGCUUAGAGUGAACUCAAAAUGUUAUCCUCUCUUGAACUCCUAAUAAGGGUCCAUAUUCCAUCUUUUUAAAAUAUCUAUCCAGAGAUCAUUUAGAUAUUAAACAGAAGAAAUCCACUUUGGGGAAAAGAAGACUUAUUUAAAGCUAUAUGAUUCACUAUAAUACAUGUUAGAAAAAUAAAAGUAUAGCAUCAAAUAGUAUAACGAAAAAAAUUCAGAACACUAGAGAAUUAAAAAAUGUGAGCAGCAAGGAGAUCCUCUGAAUCUACAGACUCAUAACUGAUAGUUUGCUGCUGCUGGAGAUAAAAAUGCAAUAUUUAACGUGUUUGCACUUCGCACAUUGUCUGCUCCCAGAACAGAAAAGCCACAUGAAUAUUUUGGCGGGAACAUUUUUUGUGUAAAACAUUUUUAUUUGAAGAGUUAAACAAUAAGAAAAAUCAAAUAAUGUUUAUAAGAAAUUGGAAUUGUGACAUGCAUAGUUAGUAACAUAAAUGUCAGAGCAUUGCAAGGCAAAUUGAUAUUAAAACUGAAAAGAUGUCUUUUAUAUGGUAUGGAGCAGUCAGCAGGCAAAAAAUAAUAAAGAGGAAUGUUGUGAGACACCGCAAACUGAUCUAAAGGCUUUUGCUUGGUCUGCUUGUCAGUGGAAUCUGCAUGUGAGCAAAACGUAAGUGCAAACAGGGUUUGGGAGACAUUGAGGUGAAGGUUUAUAAAGUAUUAAGACUGCUGUUUCAUGUGUUGGGCUGUCUGUAAGUAUUUGUAAUGUCUGCUUAGAGAAAAAUAGUACCAUCUUCCUUUGUAGUUUUGGGUGACAAUUUUUGUUUGAGCAGGUGCUGUGACCUUAACAGUUCACUGAAGAUGGCCGGUCCAUGAUGGGUGCCAGAUGUUCCUGCUUUGCACAGAGGAUGUGAGUGUUUGUGGUUGUUGUGCAGCAGGCAUAAUGAUAGGAUGAGUCUCUAGUAUUGGGUCAGACAUUUAAAGAAAGUUUCUUAAUAGCUGCUACCAAUAAUGUAUUAGCUUAUUAGAAUUCAGAUGUAAAGUGUUAGCUGCAUGGAAUAGCCAUAGGUUAUGCUGCAAGAGGUUUCCCUCAAUGAGGUAAGUUCCAUUUUAAAAAGAAUUCCCUACUCAACUAAUGAAAAUUUUUUUAAAAAAUGAUUAGCAUAAAAAAAGACAAUGAAAAACUUGACACAAUAAAAUGUAAUCAUCUUCACCAUGCGAGAGCUCACCACAGACUGAGCUCUCAUAGUGGAGUAAGCAUUUAUAAAGGCAUUACUUUAAUAUCAGCUGCUUUUUGACUCCCAUAAAGGCAUUUAACUGUUAGGAGUGAUUUAAUAUAAGCAAUUUUUGACUUAUUGGAAGCCAAUAAAUUUCAGUUCUAGUGACUUCUACUUCCGUGUCAUUUCAAAAACGUUUUCAAAACCAUUCAGAUAUUUUCCACUGAAAAUAUUGAAUUUGGUGAUUCAAAUCAUUUAUCAAGCAUUUAUCAACCUUGAAAUAGGUGUAUUGAAUUGAACAGCAAAAACCUGUUGAUAAAUGGGUGUUUAUGCAUAAAAGCAUGAAAAUUCCAAUGAACAGUGGGGGUAUGUCACCUAAAAGUAAGGACAUAUCUACUAAAUAGUGAAAGCAUGGUUACAAAACAGUGAAGCUAUGUUUACUAAACUGUAAGCAGCCAGCAUCUGCUCACUGUAAUUAACCCCUUAAGGACUGAGCCAAAUGUAAACGUUUUGAUUAAAAUAAAUGUACAGUUUAUAUGGUGUUUUGGGAAGUUACAGGGUCAAAUACAGCAUGUUAAAUUUUUCAGUUUUUUCACAUUGAAAUUCCCUAGAUUGGUUACGUUGCCUUUGAGAGCGUAUGGUAGCCCAGGAAUGAGAAUUACCCCCAUAAUGUCAUACCAUUUGCAAUAGUAGAAAACCCAAGGUAUUGCAAAUGGAGUAUGUCCAGUCUUUUUUAAUAGCCACUUAGUCACAAACACUGGCCAAAGUUAGCGUUAAUAUUUGUUUGUGUGUGAAAAAUGCAAAAAACUAAUUUGAAUGCCAAUUUGGCCGGCGAGCAUGUAAGUGCAUAGGACGGCUGGGGAGUUUAGAGCUGGGUCCCCAAGGACGGCAUAGCAUGCCCACCGUCCUUAAGGAGUUAAAAAACAGCAAAUGACCAUCGUCAGUAGUCAAAGUCUAUAUGGUGCAGACCAUAGCAGUGGCAAUGUAUGUUAAUGGUGAUAUUUUAUCCUAGCAAAUUUCAUAGUUACAAUUAAUGCAUCAUUACAAAUUAAGGACAUUUAUUGAUAAAGGGGAUAACCCGAAAAGUUUGUACCUUAUGUCCUUGUUAAUAAACCUUUUUGUAGCACGUGGUGUGCACAUUUGCAAUUGUUUGCGCUGCCCUCAUUUUUUCUAUUUUUGUUCAUUACAAAUAAGUGCCAAACAACUAUAAAAACAUCUAUGUCUACACAUGCACAACUGCAAGAAUUAUUAUUAGAAUUAGCAUACAUGUAGGGUUUAUCAACUAUGCAUCACAUGCUGGUAAGGUGGUCUAACUAGGAUUCAAACCUAAGUUUCCUAGUUCUAAGGCAGUAACAUUAUUACUGUUUUAACAAGCCAAUGUUAAGGCAUACAUUUUAAAAUACUAGUUCUCUGUCAAAGUUGAGCUUGCAUCUGUGUCACAACAAUUUGGUCCAUGUUGAUGAGUCGGCCUGUUUAUUGAAUUCAGCUUGUCAAAAUAUGGAUGCUAUUACAACAAAACAGAAUUUAAAAAAUGUUGGUAAUAUUCAACUAACAAAGUAUAGUAUUAAGAAGUGGAGCGAUAUCAAGCCACAGUAAGCCCUUCUCCCACAUGCAACAGAGCCUUCAAAAGGAAAAGAAAAAUACUUAUAUUUCUCGCUGGAUGGUAUUCCAAUUCAUACUCAGCAUGCAAGGGAAAAAUAAAAAGAUCAUAUAACAGAUCUGUAUAGAUUACUUGGUACUUCUAAAUAGUGCUAAAUGUCACAUGUAAUUACUUGAUCGGCUGGGUAUUAAAUAAUUUAUUACCAAUAUGUAACAAUAUCAAAUAUAAAAACAAACUAUACAAGCAAAUAUAAAACACAAGCAUAAAGCAUGUCACUGCUUAGUUAACAUACAUAAAGCAGGUCAUUGCUUAAUACGCACACAUAAAGCAGGUCACUGUUAAAUACACAAACAUACAACAGGUCACUGCUUACUAGAUGGGAUGGUGAGUAAAACGGUAUAUGUUCCCGUUACCCACAACCAGGCUUUCCCACACUGGGAGAUGUCUCCUAUGUGAAGGGGUCAGUGGGGUUACUUUGGUGCAGUCCGGGUAGCAUGCGAAUUAUUAGCUGCUGCUCUUUCAAAAGUCCCAGCAUGUGAUAGGCUCCGCCCCCUCAUCAACGUGUUUCUGAGUCUUUUUAUUUUUCCCUUGCAUGCUGAGUAUGAAUUGGAAUACCAUCCAGCGAGAAAUAUAAGUAUUUUUCUUUUCUUUUUGAAGGCUCUGUUGCAUGUGGGAGAAGGGCUUACAGUGGCUUGAUAUCGCUCCACUUCUUAAUACUAUACUUUGAAUACUCUAUAUGUCGUGAAGGGAUCACUUUGAAGUGUGGUAGCUAGUAUCUAACAAAUAUUUGGGAACUUAUAUAACCUAUAAAUAGCUCUAUUUUUGCCAGGGCCGUCUUUAAUAACGAAUGGACCCUGGGCAAGUGUUUGCUUGGGCCCCCUGUGCCCUGCCGCUCUCGCCCCUCACUCCCUGGUAUGCAAUCACGGCAUCCAUCCCAACGCAGUGGCGGUACUAAAGUAGAAUGAAUUUUAUUGGGACCCCCAAUUGCAAGGUUGGACUAAAGGUAGAACCCCAUCUGUCGUGCAACUCCAACAAUGCUUUGACAGCUGGGACUCUAUUAAUUUCCCAUGCUUGCAGGGUUGUAUUUAGCACUGAGCCAUGUUAGUAUGUUUGAAUGUAAGCAUGUGUUUGUAUGGAGUAUGUUUGUGUGAAUGUGUUUGUAUGUGGUACUAGAGUUUGAAUGCAAGUGUGCAUUUAUGUGUAGUGUUUGUUUUUGAAUGUAGGAGUGUGCUUGUAUGUAGUGUUGAUGUUUCAAUGCAGGAGUGUGUUUUAUAUGUAGUGUUGAAGUUUGAAUGGAGGGGUGUAUUUGUAUUUAAAGUUGCGGCUCAGAUGCACAGGUACACACUCUGACGCACAAACAGAUACACAGAUACAUACACUGACUACAUACAGAUAAACAGGCACAUACACUGACAGACACACUGACACAGGUACAUAUAUUGACACACACANNNNNNNNNNNNNNNNNNNNNNNNNNNNNNNNNNNNNNNNNNNNNNNNNNNNNNNNNNNNNNNNNNNNNNNNNNNNNNNNNNNNNNNNNNNNNNNNNNNNGUUUUCAGUACACAUAAGGAUACAAAUACAUUUUAUUCCUGGCUUCCACUAUAGGCACCCAAACCACUUCACCUCGCGUUUUGUAUGACAAUAUCCAGCGUCUUCUAAAUCCCUACUGGAAAGCACAGAUUCAAUGCUUUCAGAUGUAGACGGCCUUUGUGUAUGCAGUGCUCACUGUGCAUGCGCAUUAGGUUCCCGGCUUCAGUCGGAGGAGGCGAAACAGUCAGCACCAAGGGACCUCAGCAGUGGAAUCAAGCAAGUGAAAAUAACAAUUUCAUGGCUAGGCAGAGAGGUGCACUUUAGUGUUAGAAAUACUGUUUUGUAUUCCAAACACUAAAGUGGUCCUUUAAGAAUUGAAGUUACAAAAGCGGAUAUAGAUAAGUGCUUCAAAAUGAGCUGUUAAACUAUUGACAUUAAAGCAUGGACAAAAGCAAACAUUAAGCACAUCUGCACUCUGCUUCUGGGAUUUAGUAAAUACUGGGAUUUAAUACGUGGGAGGGGGGGGAUAUAGUACAGAAGGGGUACUGUACUUUUUAAAAACAAACCUAUGUUUCUAUGAAACUUUAAGGGUUUUUGCAGCCCACCUAAACUUUAACCUUGUUUAUGUGGCCCAUGCUAGCCUUUGAAAUUUUGACAUGCUUGUUGUACAGCAUAUUAAUCUCAAUGUGUUAUACUGUGUAGCUCUGAAAAACUAAUAAAAUAAGAUAUAAAAAAAAUAAAAAAAUAGACAUUUCCCAGCUACUUUAUUUCUUUCAAUUUUUAAUAUACCAGCCACAUUUGUUGUGCUAGGACAAUAUCUGUACAUUGCCAAAAAUGUACUUUAAAAAGAAAAAAAAAAAUCCAUAAAUUAAAACUAGGGAAACUAUCAUUAUUCUAUGAGUGGUGUGUUAAAGCGGCACUGUCAUGUCGAACUUACCUUUCCUUAAUCUCUUCCUCUUCUCCCCCUCUCUCAGGAUCUGUUCUUCUUUUCUUCCUGUCUUCUUUAAAAUCAUAAGACAAAGUAGGGACUCUUUGCCUUAUGGAGGAUUCCUCCGCUUGUCCAGCUCUGACCAGCGGAGGAGCAAAGUGUGCUUCAUUUCCGCUGGUCACAGCAAUUUUCCCUUGAUCCUUACCUUUCCUCUGUGUUCCCACGAUGCUUCCUGUCCUUUUCCACAAAACUGCCGAAUUGCGUAAAAUGCAACUACUACCUGUUUUAUUUUAAAUUCGACGGUUAUGAUGGUUUUUUUAUUUGGCCUUUUUUGGGGCUGAAAAAUGAAGAUUUGAGAAAAAAAGAAGACGUCGAAUGGUAAGUUUCAUUUUAUUUUACAGGUUAGUUAUUUUAUUCCCCCCUCACUAUCUUUUAGGGUGAGGGGGGUAGGUAGGGACUUUUUAUUUGGGGGUGGGGGUGGGUGACUAGGGGCUUGGGGGCCCCUAGUCCCCUUGGGGGUGGGGGGGUGGGGAAUGACGUUGAUUAUCUUUAUGGUCCCCACCCGACCACCUGGAAGCCCCCCCGGCCAUGUGUGAGUGAGGUCCUUGCGAGGACCCCACAAUCACAUGGCCGGGUAGGCUGCCUCCUGCAUUACCAGCAGGGGGGCUGUCUGUAAAUAGGUCUCCCCCCUUAUUUUAUUUUAAGGCCCCCACCCAUCGUUUAGGGGUGGGGGCCAAUAGUUUGUUUGUUUACAGUGAGCAGCCACAGGCUGCUCACUGUUUAGUGGACAUGCCCCUACUCGCGGUAUAGCGAGUAGGGGCAUGUGGGAGAUUUUACUCUCCCUUAUGAUAUUAUCGGGGUCAUAUUGACCCCCAUAGAGUGAGGGGAGACUUAGGGGGCUUAUGAAGUGGCGGGGAGCACUGCUCCCUGCCGCUUCUAUCUUAACAUAUUACAAGGAGGGAGCUGCGUGCCGGUAGCUCCCUCCUUGUAAUAAAGUGGCGAACAAACGAACACUGAUACACAGUGUUAGUUUGUUCGUCUGACAUUUCUAUUCAUUCAUUGUGUUUCACAUUCAUUAUACAGGGAGGCAAACCCCAUAUGUUUUGGGGGUGAGGUUGAGGUUGGCUAAGUCUUAUUGGAAAAGUUUGUAAACUAAAGUUUCUGGUAAAGUCAUUCAUCCCUGUCUGAGAUUUAAACUAGAAAAUUAUUUUAAACAAGUACUACUCUUGAUACUGCAGCUAUUGUGAACCGAUUAGAUGACUAAACAUUGAUGUGUACAUUUUGUUACUUCUAGUCCUCUAACACGAGUGCGCUGUCAUUCACAGAGUGGCGCUCAAACUAUUCUCCGACUAGAUUACAGGAAUAAUGAUACAGAACGGGCAUACAACAUUCUGCAUAACCUCAUAACUAAAGCUGGGUACAUUGUGAAGUCAUUUUGUGGUCCUGGUCACAGAAGCGCUUCAAAGACAAGUGCAUUUUUUUUUAAUUUCCAUUAUACACAUCCAACUUUAAGUGCAUUCAAAGGGGAGAGAAAGUUUCACUUCCUAGAGAAGUAACUGCUCAGCUUUAAUUUUAAAUGCCCAUUUUAACUGUGAUAAGUAGUAAACCAAAUGUUUUUUUAUGCAAAGUGUAAAUGCAAUUUAAUAAAACAUGUAAACCAUGAACAAUAUGAAAGUAAAAUCUGUAGCAAAAUGAAGUGCUACCAAAAUGAUUACAUGAAAAAUUAAGAGUCAGGCGUAACAUGCUGAUAUACAAGUAUUUUCACACUGCCACAAUCACCUAUCCAUUUGACAUCAGUUUCACUGAGGUGAGCAGAUGUCUAGCAACUCAUCUCUUAUCUGUCUCAAGUAAUGAAAUGGUGAAAUAUUCAUCCACCGAUCAGUUUCAGAUAAAGCAGUUACAGGAUUUCCUUGCUAUAAAUUGAGUGCUAAAUGGGACAUUCAAAAAUAACCCAAUUAUGCAUAUAGACUUUUAAACAACAAACUGGAAAUCUGAAUAAUGGGUGUUAUUGUAAAGAGACAACUCCAAUUUUGGCCCGUGUUUGUGACUAAGUGGCUACUAAAAAAGACUGGACAUUCCCCAUUUGCAAUACCUUGGGUUGUCUAAUAUUACAAAUGGUAUGCCAUCAUGGGGGUAAAUGUAGUGUGUGUGUUUACUUUGCUUUUGAGACUUUGCUUAGCCACAAACACUGGCCAAAAUUGGCUUUCAAAAUAGUUUUUUUGCAUUUUUCACACACAAAUAUGAACACUAACUUUGGCCAGUGUUUGUGACUAAGUGGCUACUUAAAAAGACUGGACAUACCCCAUUUCCAAUACCUUGGGUUGUCUACCAUUGCAAAUGGAAUGCCAUCAUGGGGGUAAUUCUCAUUCCUGGGCUACCAUACGGUCUCAAAGGCAACGUAACCAAUCUGACAAAUUUCAAUGUGAAAAAACCUGAAACACAAGCUUUAUAUUUGACUAACUUUUUAAAACCCCAUAAAACCUGUACGUGAGAAGUACUGUUAUACUCAGGAGACUUCGCUGAACACAUAUUAGUGUUUCAAAACAGUAAAACGUAUCACAAUUAUAUCGUCCUUGUAAGUGCCAUUUGUGUGUAAAGAAUGCAAAAAAAAAAAAUUCACUUUCUCUGACAAGAUCAUCAUUGUAAUUCAUUUUAUUGUUUAGAAAUACUAAUAAUUUGUGCUCAUUGAAGUCUUCCGAGUAAAACAGUACCCCCAUGUACAGGUUUUAUGGUGUCUUGGAAAGUUACAGGGUUAAAUAUAUAAUGCUAGCAAAUUAAAUUCCCUGGCCUUUUGGCCUGGGUUGUCAGGCAGGUCGCGCAAAUUGUAAUUAAUAAAAUAACCUAAUUACAUAACUUACACACACACAUAUACAUACACACAUAUAUAUAUAUAUAUACAUAUACACACACACACACACAUAUAUAUAUAUAUAUAUACAUAUACACACACACACACAUAUAUAUAUAUAUAUAUACAUAUACACACACACACACAUAUAUAUAUAUAUACAUAUACACACACACACAUAUAUAUAUAUAUACAUAUACACACACACACACAUAUAUAUAUAUAUACAUAUACACACACACACACAUAUAUAUACACACACACACACACACACACACACAUAUAUAUAUACACACACACAUAAAUAGAGAGGGCUUGCACUCCUGGUGUAAUCCUGUGGUGCCCGGUGCUGGUCUGGCAAGGAUCAUGUAGACAUAGCAGAAAUGACCGCACUCCAAGGACUUUAUAGAGAUUUUCAAAUAAAAUUUAGCUUUUAUUCAAUCCAUUUAAAAAGUCAACGUUUCAGCUCCCACAUGGAGCUUUCAUCAGGACAAAACAACCUGUUAUGUCCUGAUGAAAGCUCCAUGUGGGAGCUGAAACGUUGACUUUUUAAAUGGAUUGAAUAAAAGCUAAAUUUUAUUUGAAAAUCUCUAUAAAGUCUUUGGAGUGCGGUCAUUUCUGCUAUGUCUAUACAUAAUAUAUUAAUAUAUAUAUAUAUAUAUAUAUACAUAUAUACAUAUAUACACAUAUACACAUAUACAUAUACAUAUACAUAUACACACACACACAGUAUUUUUCGCUCCAUAAAACGCACUUUUUUCACCCUCAAAAGUGAGGGNNNNNNNNNNNNNNNNNNNNNNNNNNNNNNNNNNNNNNNNNNNNNNNNNNNNNNNNNNNNNNNNNNNNNNNNNNNNNNNNNNNNNNNNNNNNNNNNNNNNCAUUCACUAUACACACACACACUCACUGCAUUCACUAGACACACACACUACACAAACACUCACUGCAUUCACUAGACACACACACUACACAAACACUCACUGCAUUUACUAGACACACACUACACAAACACUCACUGCAUUCACUAGACACACACACUCACUGCAUUCACUAGACACACACACACUCACUGCAUUCACUAUACACACACACUCACUGCAUUCACUAUACACACACACCUCACUGCAUUCACUAUACACAAAACACUCACUGCAUUCACUAGACACACACAUCUACACAAACACCUCCACUGCAUUCACUAGACACACACACACUACACAAACACUCACUGCAUUCACUAGACACACACACUACACAAACACUCACUGCAUUCACUAGACACACACACUACACAAACACUCACUGCAUUCACUAGACACACACACACUCACUGCAUUCACUAGACACACACACACUCACUGCAUUCACUAGACACACACACACUCACUGCAUUCACUAUACACACACACACUCACUGCAUUCACUAUACACACACACACUCACUGCAUUCACUAUACACACACACUCACUGCAUUCACUAUACACACACACUCACUGCAUUCACUAUACACACACUCACUGCAUUCACUAUACACACACACUCACUGCAUUCACUAUACACACUACACAAACACACCCCGCAUUCAUUAUAUACAUACUACACAAAUAAACACUGCAUCCACUACACAAACAAACACAGCUCCCUGUCUAAACACACUGCAUCCACUACAUGUGGCAUGUAUAUUUUGUGCAUUUACCUUUAGAAAUUGUUUAUUUUUUCAAAAUGGUAAAUGUACAGAAUAUCGGCAAGUUAUCGGCCUGAAAGUUCACAGAUUAUCGGUAUCGGCUCUAAAAAAAUUCAAUAUCGGUCGAUCCCUACUCCGCGCCAAUCAGGAACUCCUCAUAGAGAUGCACUGAAUAAAUACAUCUCUAUAAGGUACAUUAAGUGUCUCCAUGCAAUGCAUGGAAAACUAACGGACAGUGGUGUCUUAGUGACUGUCACUUGAAGUGUUCCUAGGCUGUAAUGUUAACAUUGCCUUUUCUCUGAAAAGGCAGUGCUUACAUUAAACAGCCUGCAGGGGCAUACUAUGCACAAUAGAACAACUAUAUUACGCUGUAGUUGUUCUGGUGACUAGUGUUACUUUAACAAAGAUUUAAGAGUAAUCUUUUACUGCAUUUAACACAAUUUCAGACUCAUGUAAUAGCAGAGAUUAAACUCUAGAAUCUUAGUGGUCCAAAGUUCAACUAAACUGGAUUCUUCCUUUCAUCCCACGCACAGAGACAAGGUCUCUCAGUUCAAAACAUACUUUACUGAAGAUCUUAUUGACUGUUAGUUGCGCUUUACAUCUGCUCUAGACUAUACAUAUUAUGCCUAGAAUCUUUUUAGAUAAUGUAUAUAUUAAUAGGGAAUAGUUAUCUUUCACUGACACUUAAAGUAAAAUAAAGAUUACUAUAACUCUAACUCUAUAAAAUCUUUUAAUGACUUGUAUGUAUGAAUUUCUCAGCUAUAGAUUUGGCAUCAGAAGCUUCCAAAUCAAUGAAAUGCAGGUUAAAGAAUGUCACUUUUGAGAUUUUUAUAAAGACAGAAUCUUUAUGAAAAGCAUUUCUUUUUGACAGUAUUGUAAUUCCUGUGAAAUUUCAACUCUAUAAAGAUAUAUGCACAUAAGAUAAAUUAGGGAUUAAUUUGCCUCAUAUAAAAGUUUUCACCACCACUUCAGUCAGUUGUGGCAACAGACAGGAAUAGGCAUCGUCUUGCACAAUGCGCAAUAGAUGCCUCACAUGUGCAAGACAACAUAAAGGAUUGCAUUCUGCUGGGUCCUUCAUGGACCCCGUUUUCUACUGUUAUCCACUGGAUGAAGUGAAGUCUCUAAUAACCAAAGUAAGGGGGGCAAGAAGAUGGUAAGUGUGUCUUGUACUCUCAGACACUGCAAUAAUUAACGUUGCAGGUGACAGGGGCAUUGCACCCUAUCCACUUCAAUGAGAUACAGUAGUCUGGGUGUCUAUAGAGUCCCUUUAACUGUUUUUCUAUGCAGGCUUGUAAAAGACAGNNNNNNNNNNNNNNNNNNNNNNNNNNNNNNNNNNNNNNNNNNNNNNNNNNNNNNNNNNNNNNNNNNNNNNNNNNNNNNNNNNNNNNNNNNNNNNNNNNNNUGUUUGUUACCUUAUGCAUGACCACAACAAAGAAUAUACUGUUAUAAACUGAACUCUCAUACAAGUCUAUCGUCACCUUGAAACUAUAGAGUGGAUUGCGACAUCUUACCUUAUUUAAUUUCCUUUCCUCUUCUGUGUUUGCCAUAUUGUAUGUUUAUCGUAUUGCUGCAAUAGAUUUAGGGAACCAACACUACAGAGCAAAACCAUUUAAGAGGAUGCUGAACCAGAACAAAACCAAACCACAGGUUGUGAGUCACACUCCCUCUAUAUCAGAAAAAAUGCUUUAUAAUAGGCACAUCUGUACAUGCUCAGAAAGCAAAAGUGGACACAUACCAAGUACCUGUAUGUGUACAGGGGAUCUAACGUUUGGCCAUUCCUGGUUUAAGUAGGUUCUAGACUUGUGGAAUAUGUUUUGUUAUUUCAUGCAAAUUCAUCCAAAUUCGACAAUUUGUAAGAGUCUAAAUUUACAAAUUCUUUACAAACCGAAAUCAACCAAAAAUGAACUAAUUCAGAACUAAUCAAAACAAAUUCUUUCAAAUCCAUUUGUUUCCACAGGGAUAACAAAUUAGGGACUAAUCUACUAAGCAACUGAAAAAGAAAAAGGUUUUUCAGCCGUUUUGUAGAUGGCUCCCUAAUUUUGUACCCUUUUGUGGGAUUGACAUAUUUAAGGGUAGCAAUAGGGAGCAGCUUAGUAUCUAGCUCCCUAAAUCAGUUCACUUAUGUGGGAUUGUCAUUACAAGGAUACCAAUAAGAAAACCAAUAGGGAUUAUGUGUCUGAAUUUUUUUUUUUUUUUCCAUUUUUUUUUUCGAAUUUAGUUUAGUUUCAAAUCAAUAAUUUUCAAAUCUCGGUUUAAAACCCUGUCAAAAUAAUUCAAUAUUGUUAAAAACAUUUCCAAAUGAUUUAUCUGCAAAAAUUACCACAGACUUUAGCAGUGACUUCUGUAGAUAAAUAUUCAGAAAGUUUUUCUAACAGUAUUGAAUCAUUUGGAAAGCUUCUUAAAUCAAGGCCUUCGGACGAACAGAAAUUAAAAAAAUGAAUGAAACUGAAACGUAGCAAAGCAAUUUAUUUUCGCCAUUAACCCACAUCUGUAGUAGGUUAAUGCAUCACAAAUGUCAUCUUUUGCUAUGUAGUAGUGGUGGCCAACCUUUAAAAAACAAAUGGUUAAUGUCGCCUCUCAAUUAUCCCAACAUUAAAGGACCACUAUAGUGCCAGGAAAACAUACUCGUUUUCCUGGCACUCUUUGACCUGAGGGUGCCCCCACCCCCUCAGGGUCCCCCUCCCGCCGGGCUCUGGGGAGAGGAAGUGGUUAAACUUAACUAUUUCUCCAGCGCUGGGCGGGGAGUUCUCCUCCUCCUUGUCACGUAUUCAUCCGCUUAUAGAAAUGUGGUUAAUGACAUUUACUGUCCACACAGGAAAAGUUGUGCCGAGCAGCAACCUAAUCCACAGAAGGUUUAAUGCUGAGCAGUAAUUGUGCAAAUGAAACCUGGUGUCAUGUAUUCAUCCGCUUAUAGAAAAGUGGUUAAUGACACUUACUGUCCACACAGGAAAAGUUGUGCCGAGCAGCAACCUAAUCCACAGAAGGGUUAAUGCUGAGCAGCAAUUUUGCAAAUGAAACCUGGUAACUGACUUUGGGGUCAAAGGCCGGUUACAGCCUAUCAGAACUAAAGGAGGGGUAUUUAGGCACAGUUCUCAGCCUGCUCAGUGCCCUGCCGUGGUUUCCCUUGUGGUUGUCCGAGAGCGCGUUCCUGUUUAUAGUUUUCUACCUGGUUUUUGACUUUGGCUUUGUUUAUUGACUUCUCUAUAUUCUGGUAUCCUGACUUCUGGCUUUCCUCAUCGAUGUGUCCCUUUCUGUGUUCCCUGACCUCGGCUAGUAUUUUUGACUAUUCUUUGUACGUUAAAUCCGGCCAUUCUAAGGAUCGGUAAUACGUUACUUAUUUGUCAUCCGUGCUGUACAGUUCUACGUGCAGGAUCAAACAGUAAUCCUGACACUCCUCUCCUCCUCCAUAACGACGUCAUCGGCUGAAUGCGCAUGCGCAGCAGGAGCCGCGUACACAUUCAGCCAGUUCAUAGGAAAGCAUUCUCAAUGCUUUCCUAUGGACGCUGUCGUCUUCUCACUGUAAUUUUCACAGUGAGAAGCGCAGAAGCGCCUCUAGCGGCUGUCAAUGAGAUAGCCACUAGAGGCUGGAUUAACCCUAAUAUAAACAUAGCAGUUUCUCUGAAACUGCUAUGUUUACAGCAAAAAAGGGUUAAACCUAGCUGGACCUGGCACCCAGACCACUUCAUUAAGCUGAAGUGGUCUGGGAGUCUAUAGUGGUCCUUUAAGGAGAAUGAUUCUCUUAUUCCAAGCAAGUAUAACUUGGAUGAUGGAAAAUGUACAUUACAAUCAAUUAUAUGAAUAUAGGUUAACCAUACUCCCAUACUCUUGUAUACAAUUAAUUUUCUGAGAUUAUUUUAUAUAAUAUAUAUAUUUCAGUGUGGAUUCCUUCCUAUACUAGAUUCUUCCUACACUAAGUGCCAGAUUGGCCAUUAAGAGAAUUGCAGAUCUCAACUUACUGCAGGCACACAGGGUAAACAAGGCUUUUCCAUGUAAAUAGACAGUGCCUUUUACAUAUAAGUAUUCAGUGGAGCCAAGAAGGAGCAUUUAUGUCUCGAUAGCUGUAAGAUCUUACUGAGGAGCCACCAUCUACUAUGUCCUCAAAUGCAAACAACUACAUUGUUAUUAGAUGCAUGUUUGGAAGUUUGAGUGUCAAUGUUUGUCCAGAUAUGUCCAGAUUUUAAAUUCAGUCACAAAAUCAUUGGGCUCUAAUUCUGUCCUUGAAUUAAUCUCAACAUUGAACAAGAGCCCCCAGGAGAGCUGAGUAGGGAUGGUAAUUAUAAGGUCUCUCUAUCUCCUUAUUUCUCAGCUGAAACACUAGGUCAGGCAUAGACAACAUUUGGCACUCCAAAUGUUUUGGACUACACCUCCCAUGAUGCUUUGCCAGCAUUAUGGGGGAUGUAGUCCACAUCAUCUGGGGUGCCGAAGGUUGCCUAUCCCUGCACUAGGUCAAUAACCAAAAUGGCAUCCUGAAGGGGCAUCAUUUGUGUACGUUUGGGAGUCCAUGAGUGGAGUCUGUGGAACCUAGUUAUUAGUUUUUUUCAUAGUCAAAGACCACAGUAGUUUGUUAGUGAGGUCAAAUAAAGGAAGAGUAUUUUUCUUAAACCUAGCUAACCCAAGUCUAGUGGCAGCAAACAAGCAUACAAUUAAUUCACUUGCCCUUUUAUCUUUUAAUUGUGUGGUUCAUUAGAGCAAAUUACAUAUCAACCUAACCACAAAAUGACCUGAUUUCACAGGUUGCUGUCUUUGAAGGAUGGAGAACAAACUGCAUAAAUUCAGCUGGUAAGUAUGCAUAAAGAUAUAGGACAUUUUAGCAGACAUAUCCUCUAAUCCAUGUUUAAAAUGUUUAAAAACUCUUUUUAAAGUAUGUUGUAAUACUUUAAGAUCUUGUGUCUUUUUGCAGAAGGUGAAAACAUAGCUCAGCGUGAGCAAGAAAGGUGUUUUAACCCAUGUGUCAAACCAGACAUGUAAAAAAAAAUAACACACCCGUUCAACACACUUGGACAAACAGGAAAAGCACCAAUAAAACCACAUCAACAUCAAUUAACAUCAUAACAUUUGUUUAACAGACCGACAUCACACCUAGAUACUUUUUUUUGUAAAGUGUGUACCCAUACUUGGUAAGGAUCAUUUCAAUCUGAAAAAUAGGAACAAGAAUAUCAUGGUCUAAACUCUAUACAGUAUAAAAGGAAUAAACAACCAACAACAUCUUCAAUGUAUGUAUGGAUCACUACGUUUAAUUUUACAUNNNNNNNNNNNNNNNNNNNNNNNNNNNNNNNNNNNNNNNNNNNNNNNNNNNNNNNNNNNNNNNNNNNNNNNNNNNNNNNNNNNNNNNNNNNNNNNNNNNNAGUCCAUACACACAGAAACAUACAGACUGCUGAGUCCAUGCACACAUACAGACUCUGCUGAGUCCAUGCACACACACACACAUCAAGCCUACCUGUCACUGGAGGCUGUGGGUCAGACAGCCAUCUUCUGCAGCAGCAAGGUCUGCUGCUUUAUGGUGGGAGUGGGGCUUAUGUGUAGGAGGCAGAGCUUGGUGUGGAGGCGGGCUAUGUGCCAGGGAGCCUGUUAGUGCUGAGUCCAUACACAAACACUCACACACAGACUGCUGAGUCCAUACAAACACACACACACACACACAGAGAGACUGCUGAGUCCAUACACACUCAUAGACUGCUGAGUCCAUACACACACACAGACUGCUGAGUCCAUACACACACACAGACUGCUGAGUCCAUACACACACACAGACUGGCUGAGUCCAUACACACACACAGACUGCUGAGUCCAUACACACACACAGACCGCUGAGUCCACACACACACACAGACUGCUGAGUCCAUACACACACACACAGACUGCUGGAGUCCAUACACACACACAGACCGCUGAGUCCAUACACACACAUAGACACAGACACACACAGACUGCUGAGAACACACACACACACACUGGGGUUGAGUCCACACACACACACACAGACCAUUGAGUCCAUACACACACAGACCUAAGUUGAUCCACACACACAGACCUGGGCUGAGUCGAUACACACACAGACACACACAGACUGCUGAGUCCACACACACACACACACUGACUGCUGAGUCCAUACACACAGAUUGCUGAGUCCACACACACAGGCACAGACUGCUGAGUACACACACACACAGACACAGACUGCUGAGUCCAUACACACACACACACAGACUGCUGAGUCCAUACACACACAGACACAGACUGCUGAGUCCAUACACACACUGCUGAAUCCAUACACACACACACACUGCUGAGUCCAUACACACACACUGCUGAGUCCAUACACACACAGACUGCUGUGUCCACACACACACACAGACUGCUGUGUCCACACACACACACAGACUGCUGUGUCCACACACACACAGACUGCUGUGUCCACACACACACAGACUGCUGUGUCCACACACACACACACACACAGACUGCUGAGUCCAUACACACACACUGCUGAGUCCAUACACACACACACACACACACACACACAUACACUGCUGAGUCCAUACACACACAGACUGCUGAGUCCAUACACUGCUGAGUCCAUACACACACAGACUGCUGAGUCCAUACACACACACACAGACUGCUGAGUCCAUACACACACACACAAAGACUGCUGAGUCCAUACACACACACACACACUGCUGAGUCCAUACACACACAAACACACAGACUGCUGAGUCCAUGCACACAUACAGACUCUGCUGAGUCCAUGCACAUACACACAUCAAGCCUACCUGUCACUGGAGGCUGUGGGUCAGACAGCCAUCUUCUGCAGCAGCAAGGUCUGCUGCUUUACGGUGGGAGUGGGGCUUAUGUGUAGGGGCUUGGUUUGGGGGCGGGGCAUGUGCCGGGGAGCCUGUUAGUGCUCUCUCCGGCCCCAGCAUCUCUGCACAAACAGCACCCAGCGCUCCAGCUCCUCUGGCCAGACUGUCUUGCUGUUAUGUCACAAGUGGUUUAAAUGUGGAAAACAACUGCAGAUUAUAAAUUUCCUUAUUUUUAUAAUAGAGAGUGAAAUGAGAAUCCUUUAAUUAAUAAGGUUACUGUAGCUUUAAGGCAGGGUGGCUUUUGCAGGUUGUUAGUUGAAGACAUAAAGGAUUAAUAAUUGUAAUAGUAUUUUAGUAGUAGCAGAUUUUAGCAAGCAGGUAACAGUUAAUUAGCAAGUAAGAACUCAGAGAUAGUAUUAAAUUGUAUACUUAUGAUUGAUGGGAGUUGUCCUGCAAAGGAAGGUUAGUUUGAGUCCGCAGGAUGAUUAAACAUCAAACAGUCCAGUUUCCAAUAAUUAGAAAGAGAGCAGGUAAAUCCAAUACACGGUCCGUGGUCAGAGGGAGAUGAGAAGGCAGAAAUCUGUUUAAAGAGUCCAAGGUUCGGUACACAGUAUUAACGGGGAAGAGCUUAGCCGGCAAUGUGAUUGCAUCAGUAACAACCAGAAAUCACUAAGCAAUUUUGAAUCUGGCGUGGUCUCUCUAUAAAGUUUGAGAGAGCCGCGUCAGAGAGGGGGCGGGGACGGUUUUGCAUACCGGAAAUGCCGGAACAGAGCCGAAAAGAUGAGUCCUGACACCUGCAUUUCCUCGGGCUGUCACAGAGUGUUACAGUCCGAGGGAAUAGAAUUGAAGAACAUGGCCAGCAACUUGCUGGCAUUUGGGGGGGCCAAGAGAGGGCACAGCAUAAUGCCCCCCCUCCUAGUGACGCCACUGCUGAUGGCAUGGGACAUGCUACGAAAAUAGGUGGGGAAGCUGACUUUCUUAUAGUGAAAAGGACAAUGUGAAUACACACUAUUGCCCACAACCUAUAUCUGGUGGAAAAUAUUGCUUCCAUUGCUAUCAGCAUUAAGAAGUGGGAACUGCCAUAUUUUGUUCUGUUUCAGAUUUAUAGGACACUAUUAAAAAGGAUUAUUCUUACCAAUGUAGAGACACAUUCAGUCCUAUGAACUCUGUCUCUAGUACCCAUGUUCAUUCAAGUAAUAACAGUUUUAAGACUAUACUUUUGAGUGGCAAUGAAAUAGAUGAGGAAGAAACUUGAAAUGGGGAUAUAUUCUCUAUCUCUCAUACAUUCUUCUAAAGGUUUUACAUUGCACAUACAUAAACAUCACACACACUCAUCUGAAUUCUAUCAACUAUAUACCAAUGCUAUAAACCAGUUCUGUUUUUUUUGACACUUAUAUAAUAUGUGAAUUGACAGCCAUAGAAAAGUACAGGAGAACUUAUGUCACUGAGGGAACUUGUAACGGACCGUUUUAUACAAAAGGGAAAAAAAACGCUUAGACGAUAAUCCCCUUUCAGAGACAGGCACAGCUACUGUAGAAUCACCAAAACUCACGAAUUGAAUACAAGUGAAUGCAACAAACACCCGAACUGCAUACAAGGGAAUGCUCCAAACACCCGAACUGCAUACAAGGGAAUGCUCCAAACACUCGAACUGCAUACAAGGGAAUGCUCCAAACACUCGAACUGCAUACAAGGGAAUGCUCCAUACACUCGAACUGGAACCUCACGAAUAGCUGCUAGCAGACUAACAGGAAAAGCACCCAAGCGGCUUACACUCCUGGCAAUCAGUCUCUAUCAGCAAACAGUAAAUCCCCCUAAAGACGAGACAGAGCUCCAUGUUGAGGGUCAAGCAGUGGUCUGUUUAAUGAGGGCUACCUGCCCAGUAUUUAUGCAGGUCUCCCACCUGGUGUACACUCCCCUAGGGGACCAGAUGGAAGACUGUAACAAAAGACAGACAUGUACCAAUUACAGACAUACAGAAGUAAAACAUCCCCACAAUGCAUCCUGGCUUCCUCCCCUCUGCCCUGGAGAAGUAAUUCAAUUAUCUCCCAGGACAAAGGCAAACUCCAUUACACACGUGGGGACACAAAGACAGACUAUCACUUUAAAAUACAUAAUGGGACAAAUGGUACAGUAAAUAUAUACAUGUAACAUAUCCCCAGAUAGCUCAGGUCUGAGUGCACAUUAUUAGGUGAAUGGCACUCAGACCACACGAAUACAGUUUAAUUGCCAUGGAGCCAAAGUCUUUAAUUCCACGAACAGGCUCCAUGGCAUAGCUAUCUGGGUUAAAACAUUCCCCCAACACAAAAUACCGAAUUUACAUGCAUUUGUUAAAUCCGUACGAAUUAGAACCAGGGGAUGGAGGUUCAGCGGUGCCUGCACGUAAAAGUGUCCGGGUUUAAUGCAGGAAAGCCGGGCAGAAAAGCGCUGGCUGCCCGGGGAGCUCCAGAACACCGCCAUCGUGUGGCGGCUAAGUGUAACCGCGACCACCCAGUAACAAUCAAUUAAGCUGCGGUUAACCGCAGAUACUGGGUGGUCAAUUGCCGGCACACGCUCGUUAAGCCGCGGUUAACCGCGGCUUCAGGGAGGUAAAUGGAGGGCGUACUCCAGCUUCUGGGUGGCCAAUUAAGGUCGCCGGCCGGCUUCCCACGGCUCUGGGGAGGCUGAAAAGAAACUGUUUGUUCGGUAGAUAGAUAGAAUCUACCGAACGGCUGUGCAGCAAGGGAGAAAUAAAUCCUUCUGCACAGUAAAAUUAACCCUUUAGCUGCCGGUCCAUAAUCCAAAGGCAGCAGGUGGGCAACCAGGCUCCUCCAAUGCAAUGUGGAGAGAUUGGUCUAGUCACAUCUCUCCCCUUUUCCAAACAGACUAACAGGGUAUCUGAACUCCUGCCAGUCAGUGCCCUUGUUAGUCCAGCAGCCCACCCACAAAACAGAAAAAACAGUACAGCCCACCCACAAUAAAUGGUUACUACACCUGGGUAGGGGGGAACCUUGUCCAUGUCCAGGUGCCUCACCACGGCUGUGUGGGGAACUGGUAGGCUGCCUUGGUGGGUUGCUGAGUGGGCAGAGACCAGCGGAGUAGUCUGGUUGGAGCCUGGUUGCUGGAAACUGACUGUCUCCCCUUUAGGUGCACGGCUCUGCUGCCGGAGGGGGAGGCCGACUGUCUCCCCUUUGGAUACACAGCUCUGCUGCCGAAGGAGGAGACCGACUGUCUCCCCUUUGGCUAAACAACCCUGUCAUGGGGGGAUAGGACCGACCAUCCCUACCCCUUGUGUGGUAAGUGCAGAGACCACGGUCCCAUCUGCACAGGUGUGGGGCUUACAGUCUCCCCUCCCACUGGAGUGGGAGGAGUUUGCCAUUACUGCUGGAGAGGGAGCUGCUCUGUGCUUCAUCUGUGUGUUCCCAGGACCACACCCGUUUGUGGCUGCUUUGGAGCUCGAUUUCUGGGCUUUGGAAUUACUACAGCUUGCCUGGGCCUAGGCAAGCAUGGCCCUCGGGCCUUCCUUCCCAGCCUGGGGAGGAAGUGCAGCAAGGGAGAAAUAAAUCCUUCUGCACAGUAAAAUUAACCCUUUAGCUGCCGGUCCAUAAUCCAAAGGCAGCAGGUGGGCAACCAGGCUCCUCCAAUGCAAUGUGGAGAGAUUGGUCUCGUCACAUCUCUCCCCUUUUCCAAACAGACUAACAGGGUAUCUGACCUCCUGCCAGUCAGUGCCCUUGUUAGUCCAGCAGCCCACCCACAAAACAGAAAAACAGUACAGCCCACCCACAAUAAAUGGUUACUACACCUGGGUAGGGCUGUACUGUACCUUGUCCAUGUCCAGGUGCCUCACCACGGCUGUGUGGGGAACUGGUAGGCUGCCUUGGUGGGUUGCUGAGUGGGCAGAGACCAGCGGAGUAGUCUGGUUGGAGCCUGGUUGCUGGAAACUGACUGUCUCCCCUUUAGGUGCACGGCUCUGCUGCCGGAGGGGGAGGCCGACUGUCUCCCCUUUGGAUACACAGCUCUGCAUGUGUAACCAGUCCCCCUGUUGUUCCUGUUGUUCCUGUUGUUCCGGGUGCCGCGGGUGCCGCUGGCGCUAUGGAAGACAGGACUGCAGGGGACUCCCAUCAUCCUCAGCCAGCAGUCCAUACUGAGGAAACCGCCAGUGGAGGUAAGAAAAGUAUGACUAACAUUGUGUUUAACUCCACUGGUGGUUUAGGGAUGGCUGAGGAGGAUGGGAGUAUGGAUGUAACUGUAAAUGUAAUGAUGGGACCUAUUGGCCUUAGUAAAAAGGUCCACAGCCAGCCUGUUUGUAUUAAUGAUGUUGCCCCUGCCCCUGGUGUUGUUGCCCCUGCCCCUGGUGUUGUUGCCCCUGCCCCUGGUGUUGUUGCCCCUGCCCCUGGUGUUGUUGCCCCUGCCCCUGGUGUUGUUGCCCCUGCCCCCGGUACUAUUGCCCCUGGUGUUGUUGCCCCUGCCCCUGGUGUUGUUGCCCCUGCCCCUGGUUAUGUUGCCCCCGCCCCCGGUACUAUUGCCCCUGCCCCUGGUACUGUUUCCCCUGCCCCUGAUUAUGUUGCCCCCGCCUCAGGUUAUGUUGCCCCUGCCCCUGGUUCACUGGAGUUAGUUGGUACACAGGUGGCAGGCACGAGCACGGGCACAGGCACCCUGACAAAGGGUGCCGCGGUUAUAAAUAGUUUAGACACACAAGCAGGUACACGGGUUCCCCUUAGGCACUCCCAGGUUUUCACCCAGGGUUCUGGUGUGACCGAGGCCUCUGGUUCAGCGAGGGGAGUCCGUCCGAAUCAUUCCCAGACGGCGGGUCCCGGUGCGCCCAAUGCUUGGGCAUCUGGGCCACCUCGCCUCUCUGCGGACGGGCCUGCUACGCGUCCUCAGGUUUCCUUUGGGAACAGGAGGAACGUGGUACGGCUCAUCUGUGGGGGUGAGACCCAGGUGCCUGACAGACGGUGGCUGGUGACCCGGCUAAAGGAUAUGGGAUUUGCGCCCGUGGACCUGUACGCGCUCAUCCAUGCCUCGGGCACCCGGGAGUUCGACGUCUCCUUUAUGACGUUGCAGCUCCUGGAUCGCUUCUGGGCUGGGUGGGAAGCGGCCAGGUCUGCACAGGGUACAAAGUGGGCAGGAUUCACCGCUGUGGCCAUUUCUCGCCAGGGUCUUAAGAAGGUCACUUUCCUGGUGAGAAAUGAAUCCAUCCCCAUAGCAGACAUCCUUGUUUGGACUAAGAGGUUUGGGGAUGUUAAAUCCCCCUCUGUUAAGAUCUUAGAUGAGGAUGGGAUUUGGACAGGCGGAUGGACUGUUUCAGUGUUGCUGCGGGAGAUUCGAGGUGUCACACAGCAUAUGCCUAAUAGUUUUUUCAUCGGGGCUGACCGGGUAUCCUGUUUUUACCCUGGUCAGCCCAGGGUAUGUCACAAGUGCGGAUCGUACAGGCAUUACAGCAAUGCCUGUACGGUCCUCAAAUGCACUAUGUGCGGCGCUGUGGGGCACCUCUGGGACAGCUGCAGGGAGAUCCGGUGUCAUCUGUGUUCAGAGAUGGGUCACACGUACCGCACCUGCCCCGAAGCCCAGCACAAUGUAGAGUCCAUCUGGAGUCAGGAGCCGGUGGAGAUGGACUCUGCUGGGUUAGGGGUUCAGGUAGCAUCGUCAUCUACAAUGCCCAUCUCUGGCACAAGGGUUUCCCUGCCCCAGCAACAACCCAUCCUCCCCUCGGUCUCUGUAACAUCUCAGGACCCUGGGAAGGCCACAAGUUCACGUCCCCUCACGAAAAGUGUACGUAGAGAACGCACUACCUCCACAGCCAUUAUGGCUCCCCCUAGACCCCCUCCCCCUAGGCCCCCUCCUCCUAAAUUCUCCACGGUGAAGGUUACCCCCACUGAAAAAUCCCCAGAUGCACGUCCCUUAGAUGCACAGUCCCUAGAGUGGAGCACGGUGAAAGGUAAGAAACCCCCCCCCUCCAAGACCUCGACGCUGCCCUCACCCCGGAAGAUCGCCAUACCCCCUGCGGCGAAACCCCCGAAAGGGGGAGACGCCACUUAUAAGGGUGGUGUGGCACGGGCGUCAUCCUCCUCUUCGGGCUUGCAGGAGGCCCCGGUGCCCGUAUCUAACAGGUACGAGGCACUGUCCUCCAGCUGGGCUGACUGUGAGUACGAGGAGGAGAUGGCGAACCUCCCCGAGGUGGUGGCAGGGGUUGAGGUGGGACAGGAGGUGCUUCUGAGAGACGACGGGCCACUGUAUCCCGGAGUCUCAGUGAAGAGGUUCCUCGGUUCCGACACGGAGGAGGAGGGGUACCGCAGAAGGAAGGGAAAGUCUCCUUAUACUUAAUGCCCUUAUGGCGACUUUUCCUGUACUCUCUGUGGCUACGGUGAAUGUAAACAGCAUUAAGUCCAGCAGGGCCCGCUUUUUGGUUUACGACCACCUCAGCCGGGCUCCGUACAAUGUCAUCUUGGUACAGGAGACCCGGCUGGAAACCCUCGCGGCCCUGCACGCUGCAAAGCGGGACUGGAGAUGGGGGCCCUCCUACUUCUCUCUAGCCACAGAGAGAUAUGGGGGAAUCGCCAUCCUAUUUAACGACGUUGAUGUUAGCAUCAACGGGGUUAUUGAGUUGCAAAAAGGACGGUGUGUGGUUUUAGAUGUCGCAAUGGGCAGGCAACCUUUCAGGAUAAUUAAUAUCUAUGGCCCCCAAUCUAAGUGGGAGAGGAAGCGCCUGUUUAUUGAGAUAGAGCCUUACCUUUAUACAUCCCAGAAAAUCCUGUUUGGCGGUGACUUUAACACCAUAACUAGGCCUCAAGACAGGAGAAACGCCACUCAGAGGCUGGGGUAUGACUCCUAUUUUUUAAAUAAGAUGGUAAGUCAGGCUGGAUUGGUCGAUGUGUACCUUCAUCACACUCCCAAUCCCACGGGUGGGUACACUUAUCACAGAGGUAGCUGUCAGAGUAGGAUAGAUAGGUUUUUCUUUAAGGAGAAUUUCCCGGUGGCGGCACCCGUGCUUACACCGGUGGAGUUCUCCGACCAUCACAUUUUGUCUUGCGAGUUGAACGUCUAUAGUACCCCACCUAAGGGUAGAGGGAUCUGGCAGCUAAAUUCAGACCUCCUGGUGGAACAGAGGGUUCAGCAAGCCUUCAUGGAAUUCUUUCACGAUCAGAUGACAUUGGCCGACUUAAGCCAAACGAAGUCUGAGUGGUGGGAGAUGGUGAAGGCCAGAACUCAACGGCUGUUUCAUAAUCUCAACAGGAACAUGCAGUCCUCCAGGUACAAGAUGUAUCUGGGCUUGCUUGGGAGGUUAGACAUCCUGAUCUCGCAGGGAAGUGACCCCGAGGACAUUGCGGCAGUUAAUAACCUGAUGAGGAGUUAUCAGUAUGACAGGUACGCCUCCCUUGUAAAAGAGAGGGAUCAUGGGUCAUACCGCUCGCCCGAUCCUUAUCUUAGCUGCAAGCGGAAGGAAGGUACCAAGUCCAUCCCUAGUCUGCGGGGCACCGACGGGACCCUAGAAGAGUCUCCUCGCGGGAUUCUGAAGGUGGUCCGCGACUACUAUAUUGAGCUCCUCGGAAAGGGCAGCCCCCAAUGUAGCGAGGAGGGAACCUCCCACGUGAGAAGGGUGGAUGACUUCUUGAGCGAGCUCACGCUCCCUGAGCAUAGCGACCUCUCUUUUGACGAGUUUGUCAGCGAGAUCACCAUAGAAGAGGUCACAGAGAGUGUCCAACAGCAGAACAAGUGUAAGUCGCCAGGUCCUGAUGGUCUGACGGCCGAGUUUUACCAACAGUUCUGCGACCUCUUGGCCCCUCAUCUGACCGAGGUGUUUAAUGAGAGCUUGGCUCAAGGAUUAUUGCCACCCUCGAUGAGGACUUCUGCCCUGAUCUUGCUGUCCAAGCCGAACGUGCUCGACACAGCGGAUGUGGGGAACUGGCGCCCCAUAUCCCUGUUAAAUGUCGACAGGAAGGUCCUGGCAAAGAUUUUGAUGAAACGAGUACAGGGCCUAGCGAGGCGUGUCCUAUCCACCUCCCAGUACUGUUCAAUCGAGGGCAGAACUGUCUAUGAUGCCGUUUUCGAAGUCAGGGAAGCCCUCGAGAAGUGCAGGGACGGAGAAAGGGGGAUAUACCUUCUGGCACUUGAUCAGUCCAAAGCUUUUGAUCGAGUAGAUCACCGUUAUCUGUGGUCAGUCUUGCGGAAGUAUGGCUUGCCGGGAAAAUUCGUCAAUUGGAUAAUCACCUUGUACAGAGGGGCCGAAAGCUUCGCUCUUGUGAACGGGUGGAGGGGCAGGACGUUUAGGAUCCGAUCCGGGGUCAGGCAAGGCUGUCCUCUCAGCCCACUCUUGUACGUGUUUGCAGUCGAUCCCUUCAUCCGAAGGGUCGAGGCAGGCACGUUACAGGGAGUGGCCAGGGCUCCGGAGAGGCCUUUACGGGUUGUUGCCUACGCUGAUGACAUCUCCAUAGUGGUCUCCAAUACUCGGGAGGCCACGGAGGUGGAUGAUUUAAUCCUAGCGUAUUCUGCCGCUUCAGCCUCUCGUGUCAACAGGGACAAGAGCGUAGUUUUCUGGUGCGGGAAGGAGUUCCCUCUUCCAGAUGGUUUCCCGAGGGCCCAGCCUGAAAUUAAGAUCUUGGGGGUGGUAUUCGGACCAGGGGAUCUGGCUCUCAGGAACUGGACCGAACGGCUUGCCAUAGCUUCUAGCAAGGUGGAGGAGAGCCACAGGUGGAAACUGACGUUCAGAGAACGGGUGAACCUAAUCAAAACCUAUGUUCUGACCGUAUUCGGCUACGUCAGUAACAUCUUCCUUUUGCCCAGGUCCCUCCACGCUCGGAUGUUUGCGCUGUUCUUCCGCAUGUUGUGGGGGAACAGGCUGAACCUCAUCAAAAGAGAGGUCACUUACCUGGCCAGAAAGGACGGGGGUCUGGCCAUGCUCAACCCCAUCGUCUUUUUAACUAACAACUUCCUGAAAAGGAACUUUGGGGCUCUCCUGAAGGAUGAGCAGCCUGGCUGGGUAUGUAUAUUCAGGGAGUGGGUCACACCUUUCCUGGUGGACUGGUUUCAGGGUGGGAGGGUGAAGAGCAUGAGAGUUCGGCAUUCUAGCUAUCUUCCGUCUUCGGUCAUCGAGGGAGUGGGAAUUCUGCGCAGGUGGAACGUCACGGUGGAGGAGGUUCGGGACACUCCCAAGAAGCUUCUCGAUGGGAGGGUCCUGGCCACCCACUUUGGCAUUCAGCUUGCUUUGAAGGACUGCCCGCCAAGUACUCUCGCCUCGGGGUUGAAAAACAUCAACUCCAGGCGCCUUCCGGAGAAAUACCGAGACGUGGCGUUUCUCUCCUUCCACGGUAGACUUUACGUUCGAGGGAACUUGAAGUACAGGAACAUAACGGAUCGUGGUUGUCCUCGGGUGGAAUGUUCCGGGGAAGUGGAGUCCAUGGACCACUUCCUCCUCGAGUGCCCCUUUAACGUACAGGUCUACAAAGAGGUCUCAGCCGCCUUAGGCAUCCCCUGCUUAUCCCGCUGGACUUAUGCGGAGUGGGCGUACGGGACGUCCAACUCAAGGGGGAGGGCUUUUGAUUUGGGCACUCUUUAUGUAGUCAGUUCAGUGGUUAAGUAUUUCACUUGGAUGGCAAGGUGUCAGGUUUCCCUUCAACGUAAAGACCUUUCCUGUCAGGUGGUGGUAGCAGACAUUCUGAGGGCGGUUCGUGGGAUCUAUACCACCGAAAGGGCCUCUAUGGAUCCCACCAUUUGGCAGCGUUUGUGGCGAAAUCUCAAGGUCCACCUGCCUUGAACCGCUCCAUGGGCGCCCUUGUCUUGGUGAAGGGAAUUCCAAAUCUGUCUUCACCUUUCCCCCGUAGAUUUUGAACUGGUUUUUCUUUUCAUGGAAGGCUGCCACCUUUAGCAGACGAGUACCUUCCUCUGCGUCUAGGUAGUGCAGUGUAGUUAGGUUAUGGUUAUGGUUAUGCACAGGUUAUUUUUGGUAUUGUUUGGGUUAGGGUGGGUUUCUGGUGUAUGGACAAAUUGAAAAAUUUACUUUGGGUGGGAAAAAAAAAAAAAAACACUGGGUUUCUUUAUGGACGGAGGGAUGGACUCCUUGAGGGUGGUGUACAAACUGGAUUUCAUGUGGGUGGUGGGUCUAUGGACAAAAUUUUGAUUUCAUGUGGGUGGUGGGUUUGGAUGUGAUGAACUGAGAAAAGGACUCCAUUUGGGUGGUGGGUUUGGGGGAUGGACGGAGGGAUAGACUCCAUGAGGGUGGUGGGUUUUAUGAAUUGAAAAUGGACUCCAUUUGGGUGGUGGGUUUGGGUUUAAAGUUUGGGUUUAAAGUGUAGGUGGUGGGUUGGUGUUGAUGGACGGAGGGAUGGACUCCAUGUGGUUGGUGGGUUUUAUGAACUGAGAAAAGGACUCCAUGUGGGUAAUGGGUUUGUUUAUGUUUAUGUGUGUAUUUUAUUUCACGCUUGGUUUAUGUUUGUGUUUAGCUGGCUGUGGACUCGAGGUCAAUUGGGUCCCCCCUUGUCCCCCCCUUGUUAUGUAAGAGCUCCUUCAGGAGCAUUUCAGCCUUUUUUCUCCCUCCCCAAGGCUCCAUGAAGUAAUGGAGCCCCCCGCCUUUUAAUUUAUCCCCUUAUGAUUUAGUUCCCCCCCCUUUUCUGUUAAUCCCUCUCCCUGUUAUUCCCAGUUAUUUAAUUUGGUAUAAGUUUACUCCCCUAUUAGUGCCCCUUCCUGAGUUUUUAUUUCGGUAUUUAUGUUUAAUUUUGGGGUAUUUAUGUUUCAUUUGGUAUUAUGUUUGAAAAAAGGGAAAAAAAGCAAUGAUAGUGCAGAUUGUAUAAAAAAUAUAUAAGCAUAUAUACUUAUAACAAUUCAUAAAUUGUGAAGUAUCACUUUAAGAAAUAUUUGGUGAAACCCCAAUAGGAAAAAGCUGACAUAAAUUUAUUAUCUGCCACAUGCAGAAAAAGCAGUACAUAUAUACAUAAAAUAGAAUAAUAAAAAAUGAUGAUAAAAAAUAGGGUGACAAGCCCCUUACUAGAUAAGGUGGUGAGUUUGACACAUAUAUGUCAACUCACUAUCAGAGUUCAAUCAUUAGGGUGGUAGGCUGCUCUUCUUCCUGUUCGGCUGCUAGAGAAUCUCCUCGUGUAUUGUUUGCUGCCAGAAAACAAACGCCUCCGGACUCCGUGGUCUGUAAGCUCCUCCCCCUUUGUAUGACGUCAACGCGUUUCGCCAAUCGGCUUCCUCAGGACGUGCUCACAACCUUCUUCUUGGUUGUGGGCUUAAAUAGGGCAACAAUCCCUCAUGAUUGGUUUAUCACUAAUUCAAUUGAAAAAGUCCAAUUGUUCAAUUAAAUUAACUAAAUAUCUUGACAUAAAGUUUAAUGGGACUUGGAUUCAAAUCUACAGCUGUCAUUAAAGACUCAUUUAAGACUCUUUAAAGGAUUGUUCAUGGCAGAAAAAUAAAUAACAUGGCAAAAUUGAACAGCAAAAAGGCAUUGAUAGAAUCACAAAAUCACAAAGAUACACAGCAUAUUAAUAUUGAUUAAGAUUUAAAUUUAGUUAUGAUUUAAAGCAAUAUUGCCUAAAAAGGAUAAAAAGAGAGAACUAUUAAUUGGCAUAUCUCAAAACUUACUCUUAUUGUAGUUUUGGCAAACACAAUAUAAUAGAUAAAACAUGAAUAAAAUGUAAUAAUAAUUAGAAUCAACAGUGGUAAUUAUUUAUCAGAGAGUGUCCCAGUGGGAAAGGUGCAUAACAAAGUGCAAUCACAAAAAAGUGCAAUCACAAAAAGACUUAUCAUCCAUAUAAAUGUGAACAAUAUAAUUGUGAAACAAAAUAGGAAUAGAACUGAGAGCAUGAAAAUCUGAGGUUCAAAAAAUAAUUGAUGAAUUGGAAAAAAUUGAUAAGUUUAAAAAAAUUAAUUUAAAAAUGCUUUUGAAAAGCAGUUAUAAAACAUUGAAGGAUAAAAGUGUAUAUUUAAAAAAAUAAAUUUAAUUAAAAGUAUACGGCUUCCUGAGGUUCCUAGUUGGUCUCCCAUACAAGUACUAAGCAGGCCCAAGUCUGUAUGACUUCUGAGAUCUGACGAGAUCAGGCACUUUUAGACUGGUAUGUCCGUAGGCUAUAAUUAAUUAAAAAAUGUAUUCAUAUAAAAUGAAAAAUAUAUAAAAAAAUAUAUAUACAUAUGAUUCAUUAUUUUAAAAAAUGGCAAAUUUCAAAGUCAUUGUUCAGGCCAUAUGGAACCAUAGUAUUUAAAGUAAAAAUCCAUUGCAUCUCAGCCUUCCCUAUUUUUUCUAUGAAAUCCCCUCCCCUCCAUGUUCUCGAGAUUCGUUGGAUUGCAAUAAAACAUAAUUGUGUAAAAUCAGCCUGAUGGUGUUGUGCAAAGUGUGCUGACACUUGGUGUAGCGCAUAUUUCCUCUUUAUGUUAUAGACAUGCUCACCUAUACGUGUGUAUAACGGUCUCGUCGUUCGUCCUACAUAAUGUAGACCACACGUACAGGUAAGUAGGUAUAUAACGUUUUUGGAACUACAUGUUAUACCUUCCUUUAUUCGGUAUGUGAUAUUAUUGACAGUAAAAUCCUUAACAUGUUGCUUUUUACUUCCUAUUUUUUUGCUGGAAGUUACACUUAAAAUCGAAACCAGUUUGUAUAUAUAUAUAUACUCUUUCUUCUGUUUUAUAUAUGGUAUAAAUUGCUCCACUCACUAGCACACAUUACUUUCUCUUUUUGGUGGAGUUUUGGGAUUACACCAGAGUGUGAAGCAAUUUUGAAAACAAUUUUGAAAACUAUUUAGCACCCAGGUUACAUCUGUUGGUAUUAUGUUUGAAUUGGGUAUUAUUUCAGUUGAUUGUUUAUUAUUGUUAUUUUGUUAUUUAUUUUGUUAUUCUGUUUAAUUUUGGAAGCAUUUUACAAAACUAAAUAAAAUAUUACAGUCUCCCCCUGGUACAUUAAGCUGUUGCUGGGGAGAGGGGGUAACAAGCUCCUCUCCCGAUAGAACACUCUGCUGCUGGGGAAUGGAGACUGGGCUCUCUAUUCCCUGCCCAUUAAUGGUCCGCCACUGGGGAGAGGUGGUAACGAGCUCCUCUCCCAGACAUACUUCCAGUCUUUGCGGAGGGAGACCGACUGUCUCUUCUCCCAAUACAGAGUCCUGCUGCUGGGGAAAGGAGACUGGGCUCUCUAUUCCCUGCUGGAUACUCUGCCGCUGGGGACUGGAGACUGGGCUCCCAAUUCCCAACAAAUAACACUGCCGCUGGGGAAUGGAGACUGGGCUCCCAUUCCCGGCACAUCACACUGCCGCUGGGGAAUGGAGACUGGGCUCCCAAUUCCCGGCACAUCACACUGCCGCUGGGGAAUGGACAGGGCCGGCGCACGGGCUCUGGGGGCGCAAGAUUUCAGUAACCAGCAUGAGGGAAGCUCUCCCUCCUGCCAGGCCACCAUCUCGACCCCCGGUGUGGCAGUGCUGUGAUCAGGCGCGACGAGGGAGCUCUAACCUCUCUGCUCCCUCGCGUGCUGCCUACUGAUGCCGCGGGAGCCGGAAUAUGACGUCAUCCCGCAGCAUCAGUAGGCAGCCCACGAGGGAGCAGAGGAUGGAGAUUAGAGCUCCCUCGCCGCGCCUGAUUACAGCACUGCCGCACGCCUGCCAGCAGCCCCAGGGACAGAUACAUCAUCCACACCAGCUCUCCAGGUAGGGAGGCUGGGUGGAAAAUGUCUAUUUAUAAAAUAAUUAGUGAAUGUAUGUGAUGUGUGUCUGUGAGUGACUGUGUGUGUGUGUGUGUCUGUGAGUGACUGAGCAUGUGUGUCUGUAAGUGACUGUGUGUGUGAGUUACAGAGUGUGUGUGUCUGUGAGUGACUGUGUGUGUGAGCAGUGGUGGAUCCAGAGCCUGAUCUCGGGAGGGGCACUUGUAGAUUAUUUAAAGAAAUAAUCCAGACACAAUAACCACUACAGCUCAGUGUAGUGGUUAUGGUGUCAAUAGUGCCGGGACCCCCUCCCACAGUAAGUAGUCAAACCGUUUAAGAACAGUUUGACAACUUACCUGAGAUCUGCUGGGAAAUGGGGCAUAGGAGCAGUGGUGUGUGUGAGUGGUGCAAUAUGUAAGGGGUGCAGUGUGUGUGUGUGUGUGUGUGAAGGUUGUAGUGUGUGAGUGAGGGCGGCAGUGUAUGUCAGGGAUGGAGUGUAUGUGUGUGAGUAUUGCAGUGUAUGUGUGUGUAUGGGCCGGCAGUGUAUGGGGGCAGUGUGUGUGUAUCGGGUAGUGUAUGUGUGUAGAGUGUGUGCAUGGUGGGCAGUGUGUGUGCAUGGGGGGCAGUGUGUGUGCAUGGGGGGCAGUGUGUGUACAUGGGGGCAGUGUGUGUGUAUGGGGGCAGUGUAUGUGUGGGGAGUGUGUGUAUGGGGGGUGGUGUGUGUGUGUGUGUAUGGGGGCAGUGUGUGUGUAUGGGGGACAGUGUGUGCUCGGGUGAGUGUAUGUGUGUAGGGGGUGUGUGUAUGGGGAGCAGUGUGUGUGUAUGGGGGGCAGUAUGUGUGUAUGGGAGCAGUGUGUGUAUGGGGGGAAGGAUGUGUGCAUGUGGUCAGUGUGAGUGUGAGUGUGGGCAAUUUAUGUGUAUGGGGCGGCAGUGUAUGGGGACAUUGUGUGUGUAUGGGGAGCAGUGUGUGUGUAUGGGGAGCAGUAUAGGGGGCAAUGUGUGUGUAUAGAGGCAAGUAUAGGGAUCAGUGUAUGUGUGUGAAGUGUGUGUGUGUGUAUAGGAGUAGAGUAUAUGCCAAAUGUGCAAAGUGUGUGCAUGGGGGCAGUGUGUGUGCAUGGGGGGGGGCAGUGUAUGUGUACAUAGAGGGGGGCAGUGUGUGUGCAUAGGGGUCAGUGUGUGUGUAUGGGGGUAGUGUAUGUGUGUAGUGGGUGUGUAUGGGGGGGCAGUGUGUGUAUCGGGUAGUGUAUGUGUGUAGAGUGUGUGUAUGGGGGGGCAGUGUGUGUGUGUAUUGGGGGCAGUGUGUGUGUAUGGGGGCAGUGUGUGUGUAUGGGGGGGGCAGUGUGUGUGUAUGGGGGGUAGGGAUCGACCGAUAUUGAUUUUUUAGAGCCGAUACCGAUACCGAUAAUCUGCGAACUUUCAGGCCGAUAGCCGAUAUCUUGCCGAUAUUCUGUACAUUUAAUAUUUUGAAUAAAUAAACUAAUUCGAAAGGUAAAUGCACAAAAUAUACAUGCCACAUGUAGUGGAUGAAGUGUUUUUAGACAGGGGAACUGUGUGUGUAGUGGAUGCAGAGUGUGUGUGUAUAAUGAAUGUAGUGUGUAUAUAAUGGAGUGUGUUUAUGUAUUGUGUGUGUAUAAUGCAGUGUGUUUUUGUGUGUGUAUGUAAUGCAGUGUGUGUGUUUGUAGUGUGUAUGUGUAUGUAUGUAAUGCAGUGUGUGUUUGUGUAGUGUGUAUGUAAUGCAGUGUGUGUGUGUAUGUAAUGCAGUGUGUGUGCAGUGUAGUGUGUGCAGUGUGUGUGUCUGUAAUGCAGUAUGUGUGCAGUGUGUGUUUGUGGUGUGUGUGUAUGUAAUGCAGUGUGUGUGUGUCUGUGUAGUGUGUGUAUGUAAUGCAGUGUGUGUGUGUCUGUGUAGUUUGUGUAUGUAAUGCAGUGUGUGUAUGUAAUGCAGUGUGUGUGUGUCUGUGUAGUGUGUGUAUGUAAUGCAGUGUGUGUGUGUGUCUGUGUAGUGUGUGUAUGUAAUGCAGUGUGUGUGUGUCUGUGUAGUGUGUAUGUAAUGCAGUAUGUGUGUAUGUAAUGCAGUAUGUGUGCAGUGUGUUUGUGUGUGUGUAGUGAUGUAAUUUGUGUAAUUUUUUAUUUUAAUAUUUAAAUGUUUUUUUUGUUUAGUCCCCCCCAGUGUGUGUUUGUGUAGAGUGUGUUUGUGUAGAGUGUGUUUGUGUAUAGUGUGUUUGUGUGUGUGUGUAGUGAUGUAAUUUGUGUAAUUUUUUAUUUUAAUAUUUAAAUGUUUUUUUUUUUUUGUUUAGUCCCCCCUCCCUGCUUCUUACCAGGGAGGGGGAUAUAGUAUUCCCUGGUGGUCCACUGGCUUGUUAAGUACAGUGGUGGCUCAGCAGCAAGCGCUGACUUACCUUGCAAGCAGCUCCUACAGCUCCCUGUGUAAAUCUCGCGGCUCUUAGUGCCGCGCGGAGCGUUGCCAUGGUAACCCGUGGCAACGCUCUGCGGCCGCGGGUCUCGCGUGAUUUAUACAGAGAGCUGUAGGAGCUGCUUGCAAGGUAAGUCAGCGCUUGCUGCUGGCCCCCACAGGACCGCCGGGCUUGUAAUGGGCACGGCGGUCCUGUAAUAUAUUAUCGGCAAUAUCGGUAUCUGAAUUGGCCGAUACCGAUAUUGCCGAAAAUACCAAAUAUCGGCCGAUAAUAUCGGCCAGACCGAUAAUCGGUCGAUCCCUAGUCUGGGUGCCAGGUCCCCCAGGUUUUAACCCUGCAGCUGUAAACAUAGCAGUUUCAGAAAAAUUGCUAUGUUUACAUUCCGGGGUUAAUCCAGCCUCUUGUGGCUGUCUUCCUGACAGCCGCUAGAGGCGCUUCUGUGACACUCCAUGCAAAAUUUGCAUUGCGCACACAGAACUUCUCAAUGCUUUCCUAUGGGCGUUUUUAAUGCGUUUGCAUUCGGCUCAACUCGGGAGCUGACGUCGGAGGGGGAGGACAGUGCCGAGGGAGGGGGCCCUGAGGGUGGGGGGACCCUAAGGAUUAUAUAGUGUCAGGAAAACAAGCUUGUUUUCCUGACACUGUAGUAAUUCUUUAAGUAUUGAGGUUUUUUUUUUCUCCUCUUCAUCUCUGGUGUUUGAGUAAUAAAAUAUUUGUGGUGUCCAUGCUACUCAGAAGUAAUAAAUUAAACACUCUGCUUACCAUGGGCUGGAGCAGAUCACAAAUAUACUUUAAAAUACUUUUAUACUUUUCUUACUGACAAAAAAAAAAAGAUAACUGCAUGGCCAUGGUUCACAUACCAUACUGUAUUUUUUGUUUUGUUUUUUGAACUGUAGAUACAUUUAUCAUCUCUUCUGUUCAAAAAAGUGUUCUUCCNNNNNNNNNNNNNNNNNNNNNNNNNNNNNNNNNNNNNNNNNNNNNNNNNNNNNNNNNNNNNNNNNNNNNNNNNNNNNNNNNNNNNNNNNNNNNNNNNNNNCCUGUGGCUAUGAUGAUCAUCUUCAGCAAGCUGAACACAAGCACACUGUGCAAUUGGAGUUUUAGUCUGAAAUGCAAUCUUUGAAGUAUCCUCAUCAAUCAUAGAUACAGAUACCUUGUCUUUAUAGUUUUUUUUGCACAUUAAACCUGCUAAAACAUUCCCUAUACAAAUGAUACAUGAUUGCACCAGAGUAAGAAUUUAAACUAAUAUCAUAACUCAAUAUGCCCAUAUUAAGAGUUUGUUAAUUUAUUCUGGGAGUUAAAUUGCUUUAAUAUAGUUAAAAAUAAACUCCCAAAAACACCUUUCCACCUCAUUGUAAGAGGUUUACUGCAAAUCUCCUUUAUUUCUUUUCCCUGGAAGAUGAACAACACGGGAAUACAAAUGAUCAUCUAUGCUAAUGCGUAAUCUAUUCAGAGGAGCAUGUUGCUCUCUUACUACAAAUACUUAUCUAGUGUUCAAUGGGAUGCAAGUAUAUUUUCAUUUUCUUUUGCACAUGUUUAACUAUUAUAUAAUUCAGUUUGUUCUUGUUUUUUUUUGCUUUAUUGUUUGUUUUUUUCGACACAAAAUAAAUGUCUAAAAGAAUAACAAAAGUAAUACAAGUAAUAUAUUGUAGUAUUGUAUUGUACUGUAAACCAUUGUUACUGCUAUCAUCUGUUAUAGCCUAUUACUUGCUAUAAUUAUUGUAGUAAAUUGACAUUUAAUAUUAUAACAUUUUGUGUAUUUUUUCUAUGCACAUAUUCGACCAUAAUACCAAGAACUAUAAAAAAAAAUAUUAAUGUAACUUAUUUCUUAAUUAUUGUAUAUUAACUAAAAUUCAUAUUUAAGCCACGGUCACAACAGAUCCCUAGUAAUUGGGCAUUUUAAAGUACUGCUUAGAUUAAUGAUAUCAAUUUUAAAUUCACUUCUUUAUCCCCAGCAAUUCACACUUUAGUAAAUACUCUGAUGAUGUUCCAAUGUAUUGGUAGGCCAUGGUUUUCUUUAUGUGUUUAUUUUAUUUGAUGUCAUUCAAUCCUUUUUUUGUUUGGGAAGCAGAUUAAUUUGUGUAUGCAAACCAUUAUAUAAAUUAGUAUGUUAAGCCUUUUAAAAAACUUAGAAACACUAUAGUGUCAGGAAUACAACACUAGUUUUAAAAGCUAUCAUUAGGUGCCCAGUCCCCCUCUCCUUACUUUAAAAAGGAGUUUAAGCUCACCUUUUCUCCAACGUAGAGCCAGUCUCGCCACAGCUGACUCCGCCUCACUCCACCUCCAUGGCUGAGAUCAAAUUUGACUAUCUCAGCUAAGCUAUGGCUUUUCCAUAGGAAAGCACUGGGAGGCUCAUCUGCAUGGGUGGCAAAACGCUGCACCAAUCAGCAUCUCCUCAUAGAGAUGAAUUGAAUUAGAGCAUCUCUACGAUGAGCAUCCAGCGUCUCCAUGCAGAGCUUCCUUUCCAAGGGCAUUAUUUUAUAUAUGUUAAAUACUAAUAGAAAUUAAAUAAAUAUAGAUAUAUUUAUUUAUUUUUAUUCACUGCUCGAAACUUUUACUUUCAAGUUCCAGCUGUUGUUUAAACGUGUACCCUGUCCAAAACAAUUUGAUCAAUUUGAUUGUCUCUGUUGAAGUUGUUAAGAGAGCACUUACUGUGCUAUUCCAGGUUGAAUAACCAGAUUGCUAUUGAUAAAACCAUUUGACCCAAAUGUUAAGUAGACAUUUGUAUCUAGCAGUGCCGGUUCAUCCAUAAGGCGGCACAGGCGGCCGCCUUAGGGCGCGCGGGCUCUAGGGGCGCAAUAUUUCAGUGACCGGCAGGAGGGAAGCUCUCCCUCCUGCCAGGCCACCAUCUCGACCCCCGGCGCAGCGUGCGGCAGUGCUGUGAUCAGGCGCGGCGAGGGAGCUCUAACCUCUCUGCUCCCUCGCGUGCUGCCUGCUGAUGCCGCGGGAGCCGGAAUAUGACGUCAUCCCGCAGCAUCAGUAGGCAGCCCGCGAGGGAGCAGAGGGUGGAGAUUCGAGCUGCGCCUGAUCACAGCACUGCCGCACGCCUCUCAGCCCCCCCAGCCCUCAGGGACCGAUCCAUCAUCCAUACCAGCUCUCCAGGUAGGGAGGCUGGGUGGAAAAUGUCUAUUUAUAAAAUAAUUAGUGAAUGUAUGUGAUAUGUGUCUGUGAGUGACUGUGUGUGUGUGUGUGUGAGCGACAGUGUGUGUGUGUCUGUGAGUGACUGAGCGUGUGUGUGUGUGAGUGACUGUGUGUGUGUGUGUGAGUGACUGUGUGUGUGUGUGUGACAGUGUGUGUGUGUCUGUGAGUGACAGUGUGUGUGUGUCUGUGAGUGACUGAGCGUGUGUGUCUGUGAGUGACUAUGUGUGUGUGAGUGACAGAGUGUGUGUGUGAGUGACUGAGUGUGUGUGUGUCUGUGAGUGACUGAGCGUGUGUGUCUGUGAGUGACUGUGUGUGUGUGUCUGUGAGUGACUGAGCGUGUGUGUCUGUGAGUGAGUGUGUGUGUCUGAAUGACUGAGCGUGUGUCUGUGAGUGACAGUGUGUGUGAGUGACAGAGUGUGUGUGUCUGUGAGUGACUGAGCGUGUGUGUCUGUGAGUGACUGAGCGUGUGUGUCUGUGAGUGAGUGUGUGUGUCUGAGUGACUGAGCGUGUGUCUGUGAGUGACAGUGUGUGUGAGUGACAGAGUGUGUGUGUCUGUGAGUGACUGAGCGUGUGUGUCUGUGAGUGAGUGUGUGUGUCUGAGUGACUGAGCGUGUGUCUGUGAGUGACAGUGUGUGUGAGUGUGUGUGUGUCUGUGAGUGACUGUGCAUCUGUGUGUGUCUGUGAGUGACAGCAUGUGUGUGUGUGUGAGUGACUGAGUGUGUGUGUGAGUGACUGAGUGUGUGUGUGUCUGUGAGUGAUUGUAUGAGUGUGUCUGCAUGUGAGUGUAUAAGUGUGUCUGUCAGUGUAUGAUGAGUGUGUUUGUCAGUGUAUGAGUGUGUGUCUGUCAAAUCAGUGAGAGUAUGUUUGUCAUUGAGCCUGUGUGUGACUAUCAGUGUGUCUGUCAAUGAGUGUCAAUCAGUGUGGGUCUGUCAGUGUCAAUGAAUGAGUGUGUGACAAAUCAAUGAGUCUGUGUCUGUCAGUGACGUCUGUGUGUUUGUCAUUGAGUGUGUGACUGUCAGUGUGUACAGAGUGUAGCGGAGCAGAGCGCGGUACAGGAGCUUCUGUUUCCUGUACCUGGCCAGACUGAC